rnacentral:sRNA from 12 species
CAUCGUCGCUCCAGCGUCGCCCAUGUAUGGGCAUUGCUGCCGACGAAAGGACGGAGCCUCGGCAAAAGCUGUCUAUAUAUAGGCAGGAAAGCGGAAACAUGACAAGGGUGCAGUCUAUCAUAGGAGAGUAGAUGCAGCAAUGCAGGUGAAAGCCUUAACGACUGC